CUGGAUCACCUCCUUUCUAAGGAGUCAGGCAGAUGGAAGAACAUCNAAGAUGGUCGGCCGUCUGGAACAGGUGACAGAUACAAGCNGAGUAGAUAUUGUUCGGUCUUGAGGGCCCUGAAAAGGACACUCAAAGACGUACCUUGAAAACUGAAUAAUAACUGCGAAACAAAGAUUAUAGUAAGUUCUUUUAAGAAAUAUUGCAAUUUCAAAAGGAAGGGUAACAAUAAUCUUCGUUGGCAAAAGAGAGAAUCAAGAGGAUACCAAAUGUUCUGAAAGAACGUUUGAAAGGUCAAGCGAACAAGGGCGCACGGUGAAUGCCU
rnacentral:misc_RNA from 1 species